GCUCAGCAGUGGCCUCUGACUUGCAGGACUUCCUGCUCUAAGGAAGUCUUAUAUCAUCUGUCCAAAAUAAACAGAUUUUGGGGAGGAGGAGCUGGACUGCGAUACGAUUUAAUGUGAGAAACCGCGUAUCUUGCUUCUAAUUUACCCCCCAGUGCUCAUCUUUCUGAUAGGAUUGUGGGAGUCUCCUUCUGCAAAAUAUUACUGUAAUAAAACCUGCAUUUUGAGAUGGCUCUGCGCAAUGAGGAAACAAUACGGCGUUGGCUACCAGCGGUCUGACAGCAGCCACCAGUGAGAGGUUGGAAAGGUGGAGGAAGAAGAGCUUUUGUGGCUGGUGCAUGCAAUCACUGGUCCAUAGGGAAGGCUGCUGCCUAAGCAACCCGUCUCCCCAGCGCAUGAGGAUUUAUAGCCGUGUUUUUAAAGCUGUUGAUUGGAGGUAUGGCAGCGUUCGUGGCAUCCAGUGGAAGAAUAAUGUCUUUCCUUAAUUACGGCUUAGUCUGCAGGAGUGGUAGUGAGUUUUGUUACAUAUGUUUCUCCUGAUUUAUCUUUCCCACUUUCCAUUUUCACUGUCUCUCUCUGCUAUUUAUGAACUGAUAGUCAGAAGGAAGAUAAAUCUGUAUGUGAUUUUUGUGCACUGCCUUAAUGCCAUUCCUUUCUUCUUCAGAGAUAUCCUGGUUGUCUCCUCACUUCCUUUUUUUAUUUCUAUGCUUAAGUAUUUUGACAUCGGUGAGCUUCUCACUCUCUUCUGUCCUGCUUUAUAACGAGUGUUGCUGUGAUGGGAUUCCAAGAACGUAAGCAUAUUUUGAGCAGGGCUGGGAAGAAGAUGGCUACAACUGCACUGCUUGUGCUGAAAAUGCAAUGCCAUCUCCAAAUGUGUUCCUCUUGGUAGUUAACUCUGACUUUCUGCUAUUUGUUGUGCAAGGUCUCAGUCUGUAUCUUGAAGUGUUUGGUGUACAUCUGGAAGAAUAAAUAGCCCAGUGUAAGUUACAGCCUUUUCAAUAAAAGGCGUGGAAAAGGGAGAGAGGCAAAACAAAGGACCAAAAGCAUCUAAGUUUCAGAAAUGGAUCUGCGAAUAUGUGACAUCUGGUCACUCUCUGCAGCGUCCCUUUCUGGCUGAAAACAACUGCCUUAUGAAGGAUCUGGCACUUGAAUGGAUCUUAGAUGAUUGUAAUAGCUCCUACAGGAUGGUUGCCCAGGGAGGCUGUGGAUGCCCCAUCCCUGAAGGCAUUCAAGGCCAGGCUGGAUGUGGCUCUGGGCAGCCUGGUCUGGUGGUUGGCGACCCUGCACAUAGCAGGGGGGUUGAAACUCAAUGAUCAUUGUGGUCCUUUUCAACCCAGGCCAUUCUAUAAUUCUACAGAAACAUAGGUGACUGUUUUUCCACAUAAACACUACAUUAUCACUGCACUGCUCCUGACAUUUUUUAGUGGAAUAGAAACGUUGUCUUUAGACAUGCUGUGUGACUGCCUCUGUGCUGGGAGAACCUCCCAUGGUUGGUGAUCUGUCCCGUUGGUUCAUUGUCGCUCUCCUGAGUCUAAUUGUCAGAGUGAAAGAGAGUUUGCUUCCCUUCCUGGGCAUGGUGUGAUACCGUUGUCUGCUCAUUUCCAGGGCCCUG
rnacentral:lncRNA from 1 species